ACAUCCCGAUGCUAUUUCUAGAGAUAGAAAGUUACUUCGGUACAUCGGUGGACAGGUGGUGCAUGGUUGUCGUCAGCUCGUGUCGUGAGAUGUUGGGUUAAGUCCCGCAACGAGCGCAACCCCUAUUGUUAGUUGCCAUCAUUCAGUUGGGCACUCUAGCGAGACUGCCGGUAAUAAACCGGAGGAAGGUGGGGAUGACGUCAAAUCAUCAUGCCCCUUAUGACCUGGGCUACACACGUGCUACAAUGGUUGGUACAACGAGUUGCGAGUCGGUGACGGCGAGCUAAUCUCUUAAAGCCAAUCUCAGUUCGGAUUGUAGGCUGCAACUCGCCUACAUGAAGUCGGAAUCGCUAGUAAUCGCGGAUCAGCACGCCGCGGUGAAUACGUUCCCGGGCCUU
rnacentral:rRNA from 1 species